CCGGCCCUGCGGGACACACGCGCGCGUGCACACACACACACACACACACACACACUCACUCCCGCUUACACUCACACGUCCUCGCUCUCUGCACCCCACCCUGCGCUCCGCUCCUCCGCCGGGGGUUGGGGGGGCGGGGGGUGUAGGUGACGUCAGGACUGCAGUCCGGAGGAGAGCGGCUGGAGAGGGCUGCGCGCUCUUAGCCGAGGAAGCUGGAGGCGCACUCGGGCAGCCGCUGCUCCCGCGCUCCUCCCUCUCCUCUGCACCCGCUGUCACGCUGCUCGCCCUCAGCAGAACCUCGCCAGCUACCAGGUGAAUUGAAAGUCGUUUCCCGGGGAGGACGGAGAGGGUGCUGCAGUCCUGGCAUGCACUAAAACUGCAAGUCGGACAGAAACAACGCAGCAGAGGAGCAGAGCGCGCGGCGCUGAGCGCAGCAUCCCGGGGCGAAGGCUGCCACUGCUCAGCUAGCAGCCAAGCGCGGCGGCCAGACCUCCGCCCCGCACUCCGGCCCCGGGCACGCUCGCCGGAGAGAGACUCCUUUCCCUUCUUGCGCAUUUCGCAGCUGCGCUGGUGUGGGGAAUGCGAGCGUGGUGGCUUCAUGUCGCCGCGGAGCAGCAGCCGGUGCUAGAGCAAGCAGAGGCGAGGGGGCGGCAGCCUCGGCCCGAAGUAAGUGCAGCAGAAGUUUGCGUCGGUUCCCCUGCUGC
rnacentral:lncRNA from 1 species